GACAGAUGGUGUAACUGAACGUCGGACGAAAUACUCGUCUCUAACAUUUUAUAAAAAUAAUUAAAAUUAUAAAAAAAUCGGCCGCAGUUCAUAACGUUGUGGUAUGAACUUAAUCUGUAUGUUUCGGGAUUUUUAUCUAACCACAUUUCCGUUGGUAUAUAUUGAUUCCUACUUUAUACCUACUUGAAAACAAUUUUCCUUUUCCUGUAUAUAUUUGCGAGUUAACUAUUGGUUAUUGUAGUUCAGCCCGCAAGCACGAUGGGAGUGCAGUGUAAAGUGGACAGCAUGGCUCGCGUUGGGUGGUUAGUCGCUGUUAUUUUAAUGCUUUGCGCGUUUCCGGCGCAGGCAUUUGCAUCAUGUGACAUCAAUGAUUUUGUUCAAAUUAAUAACACAGACAUCGUACUGAAACCUUGAAGCGAUUUGCAGUUGCAACGGUUACAGCAAAGAUCCUGAAGUUGAAACAGUAA